GAAGAUUGUUGCAACUUAGAAGGUUUCGCAGCAAAGGGAAGUCGUGUUUCACGAUGAACGUCCGGUUUCGUGGUCCCAAAUAUUCAACUAACCGGAUGCAGUUCCACAAGCUGCGGUACACUUCAUGUACCAUCGUCUAAAGAGCAAUGGAAGAUUGUUGCAACUUGGAAGGUGCCGUACCAAGGGGAAGUCGCGGUACCGGUUUCGUGCUCCCAAAUAUUCAGGUGACUAUCACUACCGGAUCUAGUUCCACGAGCUGGGGGGUACACUUCAUUUAAUAACCUCUACGACAGAGUUUAAAAGCGAUGGACAGCGGCCUGAGAUUCCGUAAAAUCUCUGCUGCAGACUUAAGAACCGGUCACUUCCGUCCUAGCUCACCACCAGCGUGGCUUUUAACAACGUGGUGGGUUCGAUUGCCGCAGACGGCAUAGACGGAUUUGGCUAAGGUAGCUGCAUCAGAUGAACACAACACGGCACAGGCGAGUUCUUUGCCUUUGUUUCGACGGAGAAGUAUUUUCUUUCAUCUUGCGGAUAUCUAACAAGCAGAUCCAUCUCUCAAGGUCCCGGCAAACGCAAAGAACUUGACAGAGGAGGAAACAUUUGAUCCAUAGCAAACUUGCUUUAUGGCAAUCACAUCCCAGGUUUUCAUUUAGCUUCUAGGGUUUGUGGAGCUCCAGGAAUGCGGGCGGGUAUUUCUUCGCAAAGCCAGGUAGCGCAACUCGAUCUCCUCCUGAGAACAGUCAGAAAGCUGGAUUGGAUCCAUUAGAAAAGGUUAGCGUUCUUGGCCUGGCAUGAGUGUAGUGCUCUCUCGCUGAUCUUACUUCCGUAUUUUCCUGGGAGAAAGCGCGAAACUUCUACGGGUAGCUCCAGAGGUCUUCCAAGAAUUAUGAAAGGCUUCAGCGAGCUGUGGAUUCAUGGAUGUUAUGAACCUUUUUUUAGCUUCUUCCAUCACUGAUCUUGUUAUCUUACAGCAAACUGAGCGCUCCUACCGAAAACUGCUGCAAAUUGGUUGAAGGCCAGGAGAUAGAUUUCAUAGUUUAUUCAUUCUGGACCACCCGGCAACAGGCGCUAAGUUGCGCGUUGGAACUGUUGCAACUUGUCAAGGUUCGUACGAGGGCCAUCACGUGAAUUUCACGUGAUGGAUUUGUCUCACAAACCGGAUCAGCGCUAGAUUUUACGACAAAAAGUUCUCUGAGGUUUUCUACAAUUGUGGAUACUGUGACCUAGUGUUCAGCUGAGCUGCUUGCAGAUUUCCAAAACUCCUCACAGCCGAAUUCUUCUCAUCUUUUGUUUUUGUUUAUUGAUGGUUCCGUUUGCAGUGCCUUGCAUUUGAAACUGGGCCUGGAAGAUCGCACGGAAACUAUGGGUUCUUUGAUGCGCACAUAUCGUGUGACAGCGAUUUGGAUCAGGUACUGUGACUUGUUUCUAUUCAGAAGAACGUGUUCUCUAGGUGCGACUGGCUUCCUUUACCACGCAUUCUAGAGUAGGAAGUAAAGAAUUAUGCGUUCUCCCAGCAAAACAUCGCUCUCAAGGAGACGAGAGAGGACGAAGACAAGGAUGUUCAUACACACUGCUUUGGUGAGGUUUAUUCUUGGUUCCCCGAUUUCUAGAAUUCCCGUUGCGCUUUAGUGAGGAGGACCACAGUGCAUGACACAUAAAACACACAGUACUUCUGUUCUUGGGGAAUUUGUUUCUGUAGAAAUUUUCCGAGCAUGUCGAAACAGGUGUGCAAGCCGUUUUAGCUCAGCCGGUAGAGCGCGUGGCUUUUAACCACGUGGUCGUGGGUUCGAUUCCCACAGACGGCGAGGCGAGUUCAUUCUCAUCAGGCAAGCUCGAGUUCUUUGUUCUUUGUGAGACUCCUUUGAUUUUGCUGCAGUGGUAAAAGACUGUCGAAAGCACGCGAAAUCACCAGGUAGUGAAUUCUAGUUUCCUUGGUAGGCAAUAGGAGAAACGAUCUAGUUGUUUAUGUUCUUUGUGAAACUUCUUUCGUAGUAACUUUUGUGCUUCCAAGUUUGUACUUUUUACGAAUUUCCUCUUUCCCGUGGAAGCCGUCUUAGCUCGGCAGGUAGAGCGCGUGGCUUUUAACCACGUGGUCGUGGGUUCGAUUCUCACAGACAGCGUUUGCAAGAGCUCCCAGUUUCUGUGAGAUUCGUGAGUCUGAUUUACUGGCUUUAUUUCUUCUAGGGUUUGUGGAGCUGUAGGGCGGGCGGGCAUUCUUCGCUAAAGCCAGGCUCAUCCGAGUAGUCGUCAAGACUCCGUAGUGAUUCCACAGGAGUUUAGUGCUCUCUCGCUGCACCUACAGCAAAGUGAGCGCUCCCAAAACCGCUGCAAAUUGGUUGCAGGCCAGGAAAUAGUUUUCAUUUUUUUUUUCCUGGACCAGCCGGAAACAGGCUAAGUUGCGCGUUGCAGCUGUUGCAACUUGUCAAGGUUCGUACGAGGGCCAUCACGUUGCACGAGGAGCAUUCGAUUUAGUAUUGAUGAAUGUCACAGCUGUUUGCCACAAACCGCUGUAUGCAGGAAACAAGUACUACUUUCAAUGUUUUGUCACAGGAAUUAGCGCUGGAUUAAACGUCCAACUCUUCGAGCUUUCAGCUGGACGGAAAAAGUUUCUGUGAGGUUUUCUACAAGCAGGGGCUGCUGUCGGAGAUGAGGAUCAAGGGGUACGAGCCGGAUCGAAAGGUGGUGAUCCACAGCAUGGAAGAGGAGGACAAGGACGAGGUGCUGUUCUAUCACAGCGAGAAGCUGGCGGUGGCGUUUGGGAUUGCCAGCACGCCACCCAGGACGCCGCUUUGCAUCGUCAAGAACUUGCGAGUGCGCUCCGACUGCCACUCGGCAAUCAAGUUUGUUUAGCUGCAGUACCUUGUAUUUGAAACUGGAGGAUCCCAAGGUUUCAACGGAAAACAAUGACGUUUUUGUACUCACAUAAGGUACUGUGCUUGGAAGUGGCUUUUUCAAUUCAGGAUAAACACAGUUGAAGCUAAUUUUCAUGAAAGAUAUAACUAGGUGCAAGUCGCGCUCGUGGCUUCCUUCACCACGGCUUUUCUCAAACUCAGAUUAGCUUGUGGGAACAGAAAGAAAAGAACUAUGCGAACUCCCAGCAAAAUAUCGCUCGCAAGGAGACGAGAGACGACGAAGAAAGUACAAGGAGAUACACACUGCUUCGAUGAGGGACGAGACGAAAUUACAUGACGUAAACACACGCACAGAGUGCUUCAGAAGGUUCGUUCUGAGUUUGUUAUACUUGCAGAAUUCUUCCGAGCAUUUCAAACCAGUUGUUCAAGCCGUCUUAGCUCAGCCGGUAGAGCGCGUGGCUUUUAACCACGUG